rnacentral:piRNA from 1 species
UAAACUUCUCUGUUCAGGAUGAACACAUCUU